GGAUGAACGCUGGCGGCGUGCCUACUACAUGCAAGUCGAGCGAACAGACGAGGAGCUUGCUCCUCUGACGUUAGCGGCGGACGGGUGAGUAACACGUGGAUAACCUACCUAUAAGACUGGGAUAACUUCGGGAAACCGGAGCUAAUACCGGAUAAUAUAUUGAACCGCAUGGUUCAAUAGUGAAAGACGGUUUUGCUGUCACUUAUAGAUGGAUCCGCGCCGCAUUAGCUAGUUGGUAAGGUAACGGCUUACCAAGGCAACGAUGCGUAGCCGACCUGAGAGGGUGAUCGGCCACACUGGAACUGAGACACGGUCCAGACUCCUACGGGAGGCAGCAGUAGGGAAUCUUCCGCAAUGGGCGAAAGCUUGACGGAGCAACGCCGCGUGAGUGAUGAAGGUCUUCGGAUCGUAAAACUCUGUUAUUAGGGAAGAACAAAUGUGUAAGUAACUAUGCACGUCUUGACGGUACCUAAUCAGAAAGCCACGGCUAACUACGUG
rnacentral:rRNA from 1 species